rnacentral:rRNA from 1 species
AUUGAACGCUGGCGGCAGGCCUAACACAUGCAAGUCGAGCGGAUGAAGGGAGCUUGCUCCUGGAUUCAGCGGCGGACGGGUGAGUAAUGCCUAGGAAUCUGCCUGGUAGUGGGGGAUAACGUCCGGAAACGGGCGCUAAUACCGCAUACGUCCUGAGGGAGAAAGUGGGGGAUCUUCGGACCUCACGCUAUCAGAUGAGCCUAGGUCGGAUUAGCUAGUUGGUGGGGUAAAGGCCUACCAAGGCGACGAUCCGUAACUGGUCUGAGAGGAUGAUCAGUCACAACGGGAAUGGAGAACCGGCCCAGAUCCGUACGGGGGCCGGAAGUGGGAAAUUUUGGAGAAGGGGCGAAGGCUUGAUGAGGCCAGCCCGCGGGGGUGAAGAAGGCUUUCGGAUGGUAAACCACUUUAAGUUGGGAGGAAGGGUAGUAAGUUAAUAACUCGCUGUUUGAAGGUUCCUAACAAAAAAGCCACGGGUAACCUCGUG